ensembl:lncRNA
GCUGAUUUAUCAUUGUCACAAAAAAUGGGUAGAUUUAUUACGAUAUGUUUUUUUGUCCAUAUCACCCAUCUCUACCCUGAUGCCACCCUUCCCCUUGCAAAAUGACACAGAUGCUCCUGUGAAGCCAGAGCCCUAUACUACGAAUCAGGUUUGAGGAGUUAGCGAAGUAACUUUGGUCAACUCUGAAUUCAACUCGGGAUAACAGGUACCACAAAAGUGGUUCAACUUUUAGCCAGGUACGUUUCUAUGGCAACCAAUCCUUCAGAACUAAUCUGCUCCAGGGCAGGCUAACUCAGGGCUAACUCCAUUUAUCCUGAAGGAAGUGUCUUAACUUAACCUUAACUUCUUGCAGCUUUAAGAAAAUAAAGUUAAGAAAAUAUUUACUAAAUAAACUAAAGUAAAAAAUAUCAAUGUAAAUAGUCCGGGUGGCCAUUUUGAUUAAUUUUUCAGUAGUCUUAUGGCUUGGGGGUAGAAGCUGUUAAGGAGCCUUUUGGACCUAGACUUGGUGCUCCGGUACCGCGUGCCGCGCGGCAGCAGAGAGAACAGUCUAUGACUUGGGUGACUGUAGUCUUUGACCAUUUUUUGGUCCUUCCUCUGACACUGCCUAAUAUACAGGUCCUGGAUGGCAGGAAGAUUGGCCCCAGUGAUGUACUGGGCUGUACGCACUACCCUCUCUAGCGCCUUACGGUCGGAUGCUGAGCAGUGAGCUGUUACCAUACCAGGAGGCCCACGGCACCACGACCCUGGCUCCCAGAACCAAGAUUUGGCCUGGUCCUGGGCCUCACAGCAAGAAGAGGCAAGGUCUGGCUCCAGACACCCAUCUCCACCUCCAGGCCUAUUGCACCACAGCCUCAUCUCGCCCGUGUCCCAGCCGAAAGAUGAGGCCUGGUCCUGGGCCUCCCAGCCAGCCAGCUGAGGCAGGGCCCGGCUCCAGACAGCCAUCAGGGUAAUGCACUGACGCUAUUGUGAAGGCCAGAACCUUGAGGAGCUGCAUUAAACUGAGGAGAAUUAGGAGAAAACUUAGGAGGAGAAGAGAAGAUGGUUUGACAGGAGAUGAGAUAAUGUAAAGGAGGGCGAUAGCUUCAAAAACACAAACUCAUGUUCUCUGGGUGGAAAAUUGAAAUUUUAUUGGAAAAUCUUGGGUUGGUUAUCUUGGUUAUUUUGGUUAUUUUGGCUAUAAGCAGUUUGGGGGUUUUAUUAUCUGAUAAUGUAUGUUUCUUUGCCAUGACAGGCACAUAUGCAUUUUAAUCAGUAGUUAGAUGUAACGGCUGUUGGAAGGAGAGGACCAAGGUGCAGCGUGGUACGUGUUCAUACUUUUAUUUGAACUGAACACUGAAAUAACAAAGAGAAUGAACGAAACCGAAACAGUUCGGGCUGGUGCAGACACAAAAACAGAAAACAACUUGCCACAAGACACAGGUGGGAAAAAGCUACUUAAGUAUGGUUCUCAAUCAGAGACAAUGAUAGACAGCUGCCUCUGAUUGAGAACCAAGAAAAACAAAAACAUAGAAUGCCCACCCCAACUCACGCCCUGACCAAACCAAAAUAGAGACAUAAAAAGGAUCUCUAAGGUCAGGGCGUGACAUUAGAACUAUAUCACUUUUCCUCAUCAGUGAUGACAGAUGGAUUCUAGCGUUAUGAAUUAACAACAAUAAAUGCUAGUCUAACGCAGGACGCAUGGGUUGGAAAAGGGAACCAAAUGUCUCAGUGUCUAUGUUGCAAAUGGCAUCACUCUCCCCCUUUCAUUUUCUGUCUCUUGAGGUAAUUUAAAGGCAAUUCUAAUUCACUUACAGAACUGCGGUGCGGUGUAGAGGGGAACUGUUUGGGGGUUUGAGUAAAGCUGCUGGUGUUUUAAGUGCGCCACAAAAAAAUCACUGACAAAUGUUGGGUUAACAUUUACA